rnacentral:tRNA from 4 species
GCGGAUGUAGCCAAGUGGAUCAAGGCAGUGGAUUUGUGAAUC